rnacentral:piRNA from 1 species
AUGGGCAUGUAACUCAGUAGUAGAAUACUU